rnacentral:lncRNA from 1 species
GAUUUAUUUGCAUCGUAUAAUGGACGUAGACACAUUACUGAAUCAAUAUUUAAAUUCUUAUGUGUUGAUCUUAUUGUUCUUUUCGAUUUUAUUAUUCACUUUUGCACAACACACGCCUCUGGAUUUUAUGCAAUAUCUUAUGAUCUCACAAUGCUUGGCACAAGAAUAGAUAGUAUUUUCGAACUCAUCAAAACCUCAAAUCUAUGUUAUAUUAAUUAUUUACCUCAAUCAUUCUUAGACAAUCGCAUUGUUUGUGCACUUUCUGCUGAAUAAUUUUGUACAUUGCCAUUAACAGCUUUCUGUCAAAUUUCACUUUGAUCUUCACUUG